CACAAGCGGUGGAGCAUGUAGGUUUAAUUCGAUGAGUACGCGAGGAACCUUACCUGGGCUCAAAUGUAUGUUGACGUAUUCUGAAAGGGAUACUUCUUCGGACAAUAUACAAGGUGCUGCAUGGUUGUCGUCAGCUCGUGCCGUGAGGUGUCGGGUUAAGUCCCAUAACGAGCGCAACCCCUAUCAUUAGUUGCCAUCAGGUCAAGCUGGGGACUCUAAUGAAACUGCCUACGCAAGUAGUGAGGAAGGUGGGGAUGACGUCAAAUCAGCACGGCCCUUACGUCCAGGGCUACACACGUGCUACAAUGGCCGGUACAAAGGGCAGCUACCUGGUGACAGGAUGCUAAUCUCAAAAGCCGGUCUCAGUUCGGAUCGGAGUCUGCAACCCGACUCCGUGAGGCUGGAAUCGCUAGUAAUCGCGCAUCAGCCAUGGCGCGGUGAAUACGUUCCCGGGCCUU
rnacentral:rRNA from 1 species